GUGUGAUAUAUAUGCAAGAGGACAUGCAAAUAGGGCCCUCUCUGUGCUGAUAAAACCAGCCCAGCCCGACCUUGCAACUGGGAGAGGAGCCCCAGCUCCAGGGGUCCCAGGUGUUCCCAUUCUGUGAUCAGGACAGAACACAGACACCUCACCAUGGAGUAUGUGCUUGGCUUGGUUUUCCUUGUUGUUUUUUUUAAAAGGUGUCCAGUGUGACGUGCAGCUGGUGGAGUCUGGGGGAGACCUGGUGAAGCCUGGGGGGACCCUGAGACUCACCGGUGUAGCCUCUGGAUUCACCUUCAGUAGUUCCAGCAUGAACUGGGUCCGCCAGGCUCCAGCAAAGGGGCUGCAGUGGGUCGCGUAUUUCAGUAGUAGUGGAGUAGCACAAGCUACGCAGAUCCGUGAAGGGCCGAUUCACCAUCUCCAGAGACAACGCCAAGAACACGCUGUAUCUGCAGAUGAACAACCUGAAGUCUGA